rnacentral:rRNA from 1 species
AGUCUUUUUGCCAUCGUAGCAGUAGGAGCAUUGAUGCCAUCUCUUACCCAUGUCUUUUGAGUACCUUCGUUUCCUCGGCGGGUUCGCCCGCCGGUUGGACAACACUUAAACCCUUUGUAAUUGAAAUCAGCGUCUGAAAAACUUUAAUAGUUACAACUUUCAACAACGGAUCUCUUGGUUCUGGCAUCGAUGAAGAACGCAGCGAAAUGCGAUAAGUAGUGUGAAUUGCAGAAUUCAGUGAAUCAUCGAAUCUUUGAACGCACAUUGCGCCCCUUGGUAUUCCAUGGGGCAUGCCUGUUCGAGCGUCAUUUGUACCUUCAAGCUCUGCUUGGUGUUGGGUGUUUGUCUCGCCUUUUGCGCGCAGACUCGCCUCAAAACGAUUGGCAGCCGGCGUAUUGAUUUCGGAGCGCAGUACAUCUCGCGCUUUGCACUCACAACGACGACGUCCAAAAAGUACAUUUUUACACUCUUGACCUCGGAUCAGGUAGGGAUACCCGCUGAACUUAAGCAUAUCAAUAAGCGGAGGA